GAUGAAGAACGCAGCGAAAUGCGAUAAGUAAUGUGAAUUGCAGAAUUCAGUGAACCAUCGAAUCUUUGAACGCACAUUGCGCCCGGCAGUAAUCUGCCGGGCAUGCCUGUCCGAGCGUCAUUUCUGCCCUCGAGCGAGUCCAGCAUCUAGGUGCUGGGCCCGCCCGGCGUUGGGGCACUACGGGAAGCCCUGUGCUGUCCCCCGUAGGCCCCGAAAUGAAGUGGCGGUCCUGCCGCGGCGCCCCCUGCGUAGUAUAACAGCUCGCUUCGGGACCCGAUGGAGGCCUGCCGUCAAACCUUACUCUCUAAGUUUGACCUCGGAUCAGGUAGGGUUACCCGCUGAACUUAAGCAUAUCAAUAAGCGGAGGA
rnacentral:misc_RNA from 1 species